AGGAAUCAUUCAUAAAAUCAUUAACAAAUCAUUCGAGCACCACAAAUCAUUCACAAAAUCCCUAUAAAUACAACAAGCUGCAUUUUCUCUGUUUACCAAAUACAUCACAAAUCUCACAAAAUCACAAAAACAUUUCCAAAAUCUACAACAAAAUUACACAAAUCAUCCACACAUCGCACAUCGCACAAAUCAGAAAAUCAUCCACAUCGCACAGAUCGGGGCGCACAGAAAAUCAUCCACAUCCACACAGUGCGCCGGUCGUCCGCCGCCUCGCCGCCCGCCCGCCCGCGUUGCCGCCUCAGGCUCCGCCGUCACCCGCCGCCUCGCCGGCCUCACCGGCUGCCCGCCCGCCCGCCCACGUUGCCGCCUCGGGCUCUGCCGCCGCCCGGGGAGCGCCACCGCCCGCCGCCUCGCCGGCCGCCCGGAUCUGGGAGGGGGCUCGACCGCCCGCCCGGUCGCCCGCCGCUCCGGUCUGGGAGCGGGCUCGGCUGCCCGUGGCCGCCGCCGCCGGUGGGAGGGGCGAGGGGAGGGGAGGAAGGGGAUGGGGAGGAGAGGGGAGCGCCCAGGGGAGGAGGGCAGGAGGAGGAGGAGGAGGAGGAGGAGAGGGCUGGGAGUGAGAGGAGGAAAGGAAGAGAAGAUAAGAAGAGAAAGAAGAUAAGGUAGAGGGAGAAGAGAUAAGAGAUAGAUUUUUUUCUUAGUACCGGGCGUCUUUCCUCACGCGCUUGAUUUUUCUAAGUCCCUCUCGCGCGCGCUUUUUUUUCGAUCUUUUCUCCUGUUGAUAUAAACAACCGGGAUUAAAUAUCUAAUCUUUAGUUCCGGUUGUUGACAUCAACCGGGACUAAAG
rnacentral:lncRNA from 1 species